CAGUCGCCCCCCCAGGCAGCCCGGGCGGCAGCAGCAGCUGCGGCAGCUGCCGGGGCAGAUUCGGAGCGCUGGGGCGAAGGGGAGCAGAGGCUGCUUUCUGCGCGCGCUGAAUCCGAUCUCCCCCCGCUCCGGGAAGUGUGGGCUGGAAGGCAUCCCCCGUCACCGCCCCCUUCCCCACCGCGCACAGAAAGAUGAAUUGGCAAGAGGUCUGUUUGCCUGGACCCAUCAACAGCUGGGAGACUAAUCAACCGCACUGAAAAUGUUUGGGGAUUUGUGGGGGAGGGGUUUGGAAUGUAAAUGUUUGAAACAAAUGUGUAUAAAUAAAUGAAUUCUUGAUAACUUA